UUUCCGGUUGAUCCCGCCGGACCUGACUGCUAUCGGAUUGAUACUAAGCCAUGCGAGUCUUUGUAGUAAUACAAGGCAUACGGCUCAGUAACGCGUAGUCAACCUACCCUAUGGACAAGAAUAAUCUCGGGAAACUGAGCAUAAUUCUUGAUAGAUCAUAAUGCCUGGAAUGGUAUAUGGUUAAAAUGAUUCGUCGCCAUAGGAUGGGACUGCGGCCUAUCAGCUUGUUGGUGAGGUAAUGGCCCACCAAGGCGAUUACAGGUACGGGCUCUGAGAGGAGAAGCCCGGAGAUGGGUACUGAGACAAGGACCCAGGCCCUAUGGGGCGCAGCAGGCGAGAAAACUUUGCAAUGUGCGAAAGCACGACAAGGUUAGUCCGAGUGAUUUCUGCUAAAGAGAUCUUUUGCUAGUUAUAAAACCACUAGUGAAUAAGGGGUGGGCAAGUUCUGGUGUCAGCCGCCGCGGUAAAACCAGCACCUCAAGUGGUCAGGAUGAUUAUUGGGCCUAAAGCAUCCGUAGCCGGCUCUGUAAGUUUUCGGUUAAAUCUAUGCGCUCAACGUAUGGGCUGCCGAAAAUACUGCAGAGAUAGGGAGUGGGAGAGGUAGACGGUACUCGGUAGGAAGGGGUAAAAUCCUUUGAUCUAUCGAUGACCACCUGUGGCGAAGGCGGUCUACCAGAACACGUUCGACGGUGAGGGAUGAAAGCUGGGGGAGCAAACCGGAUUAGAUACCCGGGUAGUCCCAGCCGUAAACGAUGCAGACUCGAUGAUGCAUUGGCAUAUAGCCAGUGCAGUGUCGCAGGGAAGCCGUUAAGUCUGCCGCCUGGGAAGUACGUACGCAAGUAUGAAACUUAAAGGAAUUGGCGGGGGAGCACCACAAGGGGUGAAGCCUGCGGUUCAAUUGGAGUCAACGCCGGA
rnacentral:rRNA from 1 species